GGAAGUAGCCCCUUGAGACUAUUUGUACUUUUUUUUUUUCAAACAGUGGGGCUCCAGAGCCUGUACAUGUUGCUGGGUGUGCAGUAAACACACAGAAAACAGUAUAUGCCCACCCUGCUCGUGAAGAGGGAGUUGCUGAGUCUACACUCUGUGCCAUCUACCAUGCAAUUCACCACAGUAAUUUCGAAUAGCUUCUUGGGUCUUGCAUCAUUUGUGAAAGUGAAGCAAACCUUCCUCUACUGUACAGAGUGUCCAGAAAUAGAGCUCAUCAGAGUAACCCAGUUGACAUAAUGAGUGCCUUCACGUUCUCAUCAUACGAUGCGGGUUUCAACAGUGUUCCUAGGAGUUCCCAUCGUGGUGCAGCAGAAGCGGAUCUGACUAGGAAUCAUGAGGUUGCAGGUUCGAUCCCUGGCCUCACUCAGUGAGUUAAGGAUCCAGCGUUGCCAUGAGCUGUGGUGUAGGUCACAGACGCGGCUCAGAUCUGGUGUUGCUGUGGCUGUGGAGUAAGCCAGCAGCUACAGCUCUGAUUAGAGCCCUAGCCUGGAAAACUCCAUAUGCCAUGGGUGCGGCCCUAAAAAGACAAAAUAAAUAAAUAAAUAAAUAGUUUUCCUAUUUUUUU
rnacentral:lncRNA from 1 species